AAAAUUGCCCGGAGGUGCCUCGCGCCCUCCACCGCAAACCAAUGUGAACGCACCCGUUGCUUCGGCGGCAGGGGGAUCUCCUCCCGUCAGCCCGUCCGGAGCCCCGAGCAAACCAUUUCUGUAAACUUCGGUCAGACACGAUAAAGUAAAUCGUUA
rnacentral:misc_RNA from 1 species